UUAGAGUUUGAUCCUGGCUCAGAACGAACGCUGGCGGCGUGGAUAAGACAUGCAAGUCGAACGAGAGAAUUGCUAGCUUGCUAAUAAUUCUCUAGUGGCGCACGGGUGAGUAACACGUGAGUAACCUGCCCCCGAGAGCGGGAUAGCCCUGGGAAACUGGGAUUAAUACCGCAUAGUAUCUAAAGAUUAAAGCAGCAAUGCGCUUGGGGAUGGGCUCGCGGCCUAUUAGUUAGUUGGUGAGGUAACGGCUCACCAAGGCGAUGACGGGUAGCCGGUCUGAGAGGAUGUCCGGCCACACUGGAACUGAGACACGGUCCAGACACCUACGGGUGGCAGCAGUCGAGAAUCAUUCACAAUGGGGGAAACCCUGAUGGUGUGACGCCGCGUGGGGGAAUGAAGGUCUUCGGAUUGUAAACCCCUGUCAUGUGGGAGCAAAUUAAAAAGAUAGUACCACAAGAGGAAGAGACGGCUAACUCUGUGCCAGCAGCCGCGGUAAUACAGAGGUCUCAAGCGUUGUUCGGAAUCACUGGGCGUAAAGCGUGCGUAGGCUGUUUCGUAAGUCGUGUGUGAAAGGCGCGGGCUCAACCCGCGGACGGCACAUGAUACUGCGAGACUAGAGUAAUGGAGGGGGAACCGGAAUUCUCGGUGUAGCAGUGAAAUGCGUAGAUAUCGAGAGGAACACUCGUGGCGAAGGCGGGUUCCUGGACAUUAACUGACGCUGAGGCACGAAGGCCAGGGGAGCGAAAGGGAUUAGAUACCCCUGUAGUCCUGGCAGUAAACGGUGCACGCUUGGUGUGCGGGGAAUCGACCCCCUGCGUGCCGGAGCUAACGCGUUAAGCGUGCCGCCUGGGGAGUACGGUCGCAAGAUUAAAACUCAAAGAAAUUGACGGGGACCCGCACAAGCGGUGGAGUAUGUGGCUUAAUUCGAUGCAACGCGAAGAACCUUACCUGGGCUUGACAUGUAAUGAACAACAUGUGAAAGCAUGCGACUCUUCGGAGGCGUUACACAGGUGCUGCAUGGCCGUCGUCAGCUCGUGUCGUGAGAUGUUUGGUUAAGUCCAGCAACGAGCGCAACCCCUGUUGCCAGUUACCAGCACGUGAAGGUGGGGACUCUGGCGAGACUGCCCAGAUCAACUGGGAGGAAGGUGGGGACGACGUCAGGUCAGUAUGGCCCUUAUGCCCAGGGCUGCACACGUACUACAAUGCCCAGUACAGAGGGGGCCGAAGCCGCGAGGCGGAGGAAAUCCUGAAAACUGGGCCCAGUUCGGACUGUAGGCUGCAACCCGCCUACACGAAGCCGGAAUCGCUAGUAAUGGCGCAUCAGCUACGGCGCCGUGAAUACGUUCCCGGGUCUUGCACACACCGCCCGUCA
rnacentral:rRNA from 1 species